GACGAACGUUGGCGGCGUGCUUAAUACAUGCAAGUCAACUGAAGCAGUGGUAGCAAUAUCGCUGUGGAGGUGGCGCACGGGUGAGUAACACGUAGGUAAUCUGCCUUCAGGUCUGGCAUAACUCCGGGAAACCGGGGCUAAUAGCAGAUGAUGCAGCGGCUCGACAUCGAGACAGUUGUUAAAGCUAUGGCGCCUGAAGAUGAGCCUGCAUCUGAUUAGCUAGUUGGCGGGGUAACGGCCCACCAAGGCAACGAUCAGUAGCUGGUCUGAGAGGAUGAUCAGCCACACUGGAACUGAGACACGGUCCAGACUCCUACGGGAGGCAGCAGUAAGGAAUAUUGCUCAAUGGGAGAAAUCCUGAAGCAGCAACGCCGCGUGAGGGACGAAGGGCUUUUGCUUGUAAACCUCUGUAGUGAGAGAAAAAAAUCCCAAUCUUUGGGACAUGAUGGUAUCUCAAAAGUAAGCCCCGGCUAACUACGU
rnacentral:rRNA from 1 species